CGAGCCCUUGAAAUGAUCCAAAAUGAUGCAGAGCUCAUGGGCUUGAAGUUAAUCCAAGCACCACUGGUUGAUGUAGAAAUUAGAGGAGUUCCUGCCCUAAGAUUCAUGGGAGACAUUGUCUGGAAGUGACAUUGUCUUGAACCGAAAGCCACAUGAAGAUCGACAUCUUGCAAGAGGCAAAGACCCGAAACUCUGAUAGCAUAAUAUCUGCUGCAUGGCAAGUAGUCGAUAGGCUUCGUAUCUGAUCGGGGUUUCAAAGCAGGUUAUUUAUGGAGCAGUUGAAAGGAAAAUGUUGCAUGCUGACUUUAUCCAACCCCUCUUUUUUCCCCCC